rnacentral:rRNA from 1 species
GUCGAGGAUCUUCGGCAAUGGGCGCAAGCCUGACCGAGCGACGCCGCGUGCGCGAUGAAGGCCUUCGGGUUGUAAAGCGCUGUCGGGAGGGAGAAAAGGGGCAACCCUUGAUCGACCUCCGGAGGAAGCACGGGCUAAGUUCGUGCCAGCAGCCGCGGUAAGACGAACCGUGCGAACGUUGUUCGGAAUCACUGGGCUUAAAGGGCGCGUAGGCGGGCUUACAAGUCCGGGGUGAAAGCCCCCAGCUCAACUGGGGAAGCGCCUUGGGUACUGUAGGCCUCGAGGGGGGUAGGGGCGCGCGGAACUUCCGGUGGAGCGGUGAAAUGCGUAGAUAUCGGAAGGAACACCGGUGGCGAAAGCGGCGCGCUGGACCCCUUCUGACGCUGAGGCGCGAAAGCCAGGGGAGCAAACGGGAUUAGAAACCCUGGUAGUCC